rnacentral:rRNA from 1 species
UGGGGAAUCUUGCACAAUGGGGGCAACCCUGAUGCAGCGACGCCGCGUGAGCGAUGAAGCCCUUCGGGGCGUAAAGCUCCUUCGACCGGAACGAUAAUGACGGUACCGGGAGAAGAAGCUGCGGCUAACUACGUGCCAGCAGCCGCGGUAAUACGUAGGCAGCAAGCGUUGUUCGGAGUUACUGGGCGUAAAGAGUGCGUAGGCGGUUUUCUAAGUUCGGUGUGAAAUCUCCCGGCUUAACUGGGAGGGUGCGCCGAAGACUGGGAAGCUGGAGUGUGGGAAAGGCAGGCGGAAUUCCUGGUGUAGCGGUGAAAUGCGUAGAUAUCAGGAGGAACACCUGCGAUGUAGACGGCUUGCUAGACCAUAACUGACGCUGAGGCACGAAAGCGUGGGUAGCAAACA